GACGAACGCUGGCGGCGUGCUUAACACAUGCAAGUCGAGCGGUAAGGCCCUUUCGGGGGUACACGAGCGGCGAACGGGUGAGUAACACGUGGGUGACCUGCCCUUAGCUCUGGGAUAAGCCUGGGAAACUGGGUCUAAUACCGGAUAUGACUCCAUGACGCAUGUUGUGGGGUGGAAAGCCUUGUGCGGCUAGGGAGUGGGCCCGCGGCCUAUCAGCUUGUUGGUGGGGUGAUGGCCUACCAAGGCGACGACGGGUAGCCGGCCUGAGAGGGCGACCGGCCACACUGGGACUGAGACACGGCCCAGACUCCUACGGGAGCA
rnacentral:rRNA from 1 species